UACGAAGGGGGCUAGCGUUGCUCGGAAUUACUGGGCGUAAAGCGCACGUAGGCGGAUUGUUAAGUCGGGGGUGAAAUCCUGGAGCUCAACUCCAGAACUGCCUUCGAUACUGGCGCUCUUGAGUCCGGAAGAGGUGAGUGGAACUCCUAGUGUAGAGGUGGAAUUCGUAGAUAUUAGGAAGAACACCAGUGGCGAAGGCGGCUUACUGGUCCGGAACUGACGCUGAGGUGCGAAAGCGUGGGGAGCAAACAGGG
rnacentral:rRNA from 1 species